AGGGUUUGACCCUGGCUCAGAACGAACGCUGGCGGCGUGGCUAAUCCAUGCAAGUCGAGCGCGAACGUACCCUUCGGGGUGCUAUUAGCGCGGCGGAAGGGUGAGUAAUGCACGGGUAACGUACCCUGGGCAGGAGGAUAGACCACCGAAAGGUGGCGUAAUACUCCAUAAUACCCCGCGGAGGCAUCUUCGUGGGAUCAAAGGUGGUUCCCUUUCGGGGGUUCUACCAGCCUGGGAUCGGCCCCUGUCCCAUCAGCUUGUUGGUGAGGUAACGGCUCACCAAGGCAACGACGGGUAGCCGGACUGAGAGGUCGAUCGGCCACAUUGGGACUGAGACACUGCCCAGACUCCUACGGGAGGCUGCAGGAACGAAUAUUCCGCAAUGGGCGAAAGCCUGACGGAGCGACGCCGCGUGUGGGAAGAAGCCUUUCGGGGUGUAAACCACUGUCUGGGGCUACCAAGCGAACCGGUUAACGCCGGCAAGUUGAGGAGCCCCGAAGGAAGCCACGGCUAACUCCGUGCCAGCAGCCGCGGUAAUACGGAGGUGGCAAGCGUUGUUCGGAAUCACUGGGCUUAAAGAGUACGUAGGCGGGCUGUUAAGCGUCUUGUGAAAUCCCUCGGCUCAACCGAGGAAUGGCUUGGCGAACUGGCAACCUUGAGGCAGGUAGGGGCGUGUGGAACUCUUGGUGGAGCGGUGAAAUGCGUAGAUAUCAAGAGGAACGCCGGAGGCGAAAGCGACACGCUGGGCCUGUCCUGACGCUGAGGUACGAAAGCUAGGGUAGCGAACGGGAUUAGAUACCCCGGUAGUCCUAGCCGUAAACGAUGUCCACUAGGUCGAGGCUCUUUUGACGGAAUCUCGGCCGAAGCUAAAACGUUAAGUGGACCGCCUGGGGAGUACGGUCGCAAGGCUAAAACUCAAAGGAAUUGACGGGGGCUCACACAAGCGGUGGAGCAUGUUGCUCAAUUCGAUUCAACGCGAAGAACCUUAUCCUGGGCUUGAAAAGCACGGAUGCGGCUCCCGAAAGGGAUGUCCGCUGCCCUUCGGGGUGAAACGUGUACAGGUGCUGCAUGGCUGUCGUCAGCUCGUGUCGUGAGAUGUUGGGUUAAGUCCCGUAACGAGCGAAACCCUUGUCGUUAGUUGCCAGCGGGCCUUCGGGUGCCGGGGACUCUAGCGAGACUGCCGGUGUCAAACCGGAGGAAGGUGGGGAUGACGUCAAGUCCUCAUGGCCUUUAUGCCCAGGGCUGCAAACGUGCUACAAUGGCCGGUACAAACCGACGCAAGACCGCGAGGUGGAGCAAAUCGGAAAAAGCCGGCCCCAGUUCGGAUUGGAGUCUGCAACUCGACUCCAUGAAGUCGGAAUCGCUAGUAAUCGCAGAUCAGCUACGCUGCGGUGAAUAUGUUCCUGAGCCUUGUACACACCGCCCGUCAAGUCAUGGAAGCUGGUAGCGCCCGAAGUCGCUCCGCUACAGGGGUGCCGAAGGUGAGAUCGGUGACUGGGACUAAGUCGUAACAAGGUA
rnacentral:rRNA from 1 species